rnacentral:rRNA from 1 species
UGGGGAAUAUUACACAAUGGGCGCAAGCCUGAUGCAGCCAUGCCGCGUGUAUGAAGAAGGCCUUCGGGUUGUAAAGUACUUUCAGCGAGGAGGAAGGCGAUGCGGUUAAUAACCGUGUCGAUUGACGUUACUCGCAGAAGAAGCACCGGCUAACUCCGUGCCAGCAGCCGCGGUAAUACGGAGGGUGCAAGCGUUAAUCGGAAUUACUGGGCGUAAAGCGCACGCAGGCGGUCUGUCAAGUCGGAUGUGAAAUCCCCGGGCUCAACCUGGGAACUGCAUUCGAAACUGGCAGGCUUGAGUCUUGUAGAGGGGGGUAGAAUUCCAGGUGUAGCGGUGAAAUGCGUAGAGAUCUGGAGGAAUACCGGUGGCGAAGGCGGCCCCCUGGACAAAGACUGACGCUCAGGUGCGAAAGCGUGGGGAGCAAACA